rnacentral:rRNA from 441 species
UUAAGUUAUUAAGGGCGCACGGUGGAUGCCUUGGCACUAGAAGCCGAUGAAGGACGUUACUAACGACGAUAUGCUUUGGGGAGCUGUAAGUAAGCUUUGAUCCAGAGAUUUCCGAAUGGGGAAACCCAGCAUGAGUUAUGUCAUGUUAUCGAUAUGUGAAUACAUAGCAUAUCAGAAGGCACACCCGGAGAACUGAAACAUCUUAGUACCCGGAGGAAGAGAAAGAAAAUUCGAUUCCCUUAGUAGCGGCGAGCGAAACGGGAAGAGCCCAAACCAAAAAGCUUGCUUGUUGGGGUUGUAGGACACUCUAUACGGAGUUACAAAGGACGACAUUAGACGAAUCAUCUGGAAAGAUGAAUCAAAGAAGGUAAUAAUCCUGUAGUCGAAAAUGUUGUCUCUCUUGAGUGGAUCCUGAGUACGACGGAGCACGUGAAAUUCCGUCGGAAUCUGGGAGGACCAUCUCCUAAGGCUAAAUACUCUCUAGUGACCGAUAGUGAACCAGUACCGUGAGGGAAAGGUGAAAAGCACCCCGGAAGGGGAGUGAAAUAGAACCUGAAACCGUGUGCUUACAAGUAGUCAGAGCCCGUUAAUGGGUGAUGGCGUGCCUUUUGUAGAAUGAACCGGCGAGUUACGAUUUGAUGCAAGGUUAAGCAGUAAAUGUGGAGCCGUAGCGAAAGCGAGUCUGAAUAGGGCGUUUAGUAUUUGGUCGUAGACCCGAAACCAGGUGAUCUACCCUUGGUCAGGUUGAAGUUCAGGUAACACUGAAUGGAGGACCGAACCGACUUACGUUGAAAAGUGAGCGGAUGAACUGAGGGUAGCGGAGAAAUUCCAAUCGAACCUGGAGAUAGCUGGUUCUCUCCGAAAUAGCUUUAGGGCUAGCCUCAAGUGAUGAUUAUUGGAGGUAGAGCACUGUUUGGACGAGGGGCCCCUCUCGGGUUACCGAAUUCAGACAAACUCCGAAUGCCAAUUAAUUUAACUUGGGAGUCAGAACAUGGGUGAUAAGGUCCGUGUUCGAAAGGGAAACAGCCCAGACCACCAGCUAAGGUCCCAAAAUAUAUGUUAAGUGGAAAAGGAUGUGGCGUUGCCCAGACAACUAGGAUGUUGGCUUAGAAGCAGCCAUCAUUUAAAGAGUGCGUAAUAGCUCACUAGUCGAGUGACACUGCGCCGAAAAUGUACCGGGGCUAAACAUAUUACCGAAGCUGUGGAUUGUCCUUUGGACAAUGGUAGGAGAGCGUUCUAAGGGCGUUGAAGCAUGAUCGUAAGGACAUGUGGAGCGCUUAGAAGUGAGAAUGCCGGUGUGAGUAGCGAAAGACGGGUGAGAAUCCCGUCCACCGAUUGACUAAGGUUUCCAGAGGAAGGCUCGUCCGCUCUGGGUUAGUCGGGUCCUAAGCUGAGGCCGACAGGCGUAGGCGAUGGAUAACAGGUUGAUAUUCCUGUACCACCUAUAAUCGUUUUAAUCGAUGGGGGGACGCAGUAGGAUAGGCGAAGCGUGCGAUUGGAUUGCACGUCUAAGCAGUAAGGCUGAGUAUUAGGCAAAUCCGGUACUCGUUAAGGCUGAGCUGUGAUGGGGAGAAGACAUUGAGUCUUCGAGUCGUUGAUUUCACACUGCCGAGAAAAGCCUCUAGAUAGAAAAUAGGUGCCCGUACCGCAAACCGACACAGGUAGUCAAGAUGAGAAUUCUAAGGUGAGCGAGCGAACUCUCGUUAAGGAACUCGGCAAAAUGACCCCGUAACUUCGGGAGAAGGGGUGCUCUUUAGGGUUAACGCCCAGAAGAGCCGCAGUGAAUAGGCCCAAGCGACUGUUUAUCAAAAACACAGGUCUCUGCUAAACCGUAAGGUGAUGUAUAGGGGCUGACGCCUGCCCGGUGCUGGAAGGUUAAGAGGAGUGGUUAGCUUCUGCGAAGCUACGAAUCGAAGCCCCAGUAAACGGCGGCCGUAACUAUAACGGUCCUAAGGUAGCGAAAUUCCUUGUCGGGUAAGUUCCGACCCGCACGAAAGGCGUAACGAUUUGGGCACUGUCUCAACGAGAGACUCGGUGAAAUCAUAGUACCUGUGAAGAUGCAGGUUACCCGCGACAGGACGGAAAGACCCCGUGGAGCUUUACUGUAGCCUGAUAUUGAAAUUCGGCACAGCUUGUACAGGAUAGGUAGGAGCCUUUGAAACGUGAGCGCUAGCUUACGUGGAGGCGCUGGUGGGAUACUACCCUAGCUGUGUUGGCUUUCUAACCCGCACCACUUAUCGUGGUGGGAGACAGUGUCAAGCGGGCAGUUUGACUGGGGCGGUCGCCUCCUAAAAGGUAACGGAGGCGCUCAAAGGUUCCCUCAGAAUGGUUGGAAAUCAUUCAUAGAGUGUAAAGGCAUAAGGGAGCUUGACUGCGAGACCUACAAGUCGAGCAGGGUCGAAAGACGGACUUAGUGAUCCGGUGGUUCCGCAUGGAAGGGCCAUCGCUCAACGGAUAAAAGCUACCCCGGGGAUAACAGGCUUAUCUCCCCCAAGAGUUCACAUCGACGGGGAGGUUUGGCACCUCGAUGUCGGCUCAUCGCAUCCUGGGGCUGUAGUCGGUCCCAAGGGUUGGGCUGUUCGCCCAUUAAAGCGGUACGCGAGCUGGGUUCAGAACGUCGUGAGACAGUUCGGUCCCUAUCCGUCGUGGGCGUAGGAAAUUUGAGAGGAGCUGUCCUUAGUACGAGAGGACCGGGAUGGACAUACCUCUGGUGUACCAGUUGUCGUGCCAACGGCAUAGCUGGGUAGCUAUGUGUGGACGGGAUAAGUGCUGAAAGCAUCUAAGCAUGAAGCCCCCCUCAAGAUGAGAUUUCCCAACUUCGGUUAUAAGAUCCCUCAAAGAUGAUGAGGUUAAUAGGUUCGAGGUGGAAGCAUGGUGACAUGUGGAGCUGACGAAUACUAAUCGAUCGAAGACUUAAUCAA